UACGUAGGGGGCGAGCGUUGUCCGGAUUUAUUGGGCGUAAAGAGCUCGUAGGCGGUUCGAUAAGUCGGACGUGAAAUCUCCACGCUCAACGUGGAGGGGCCGUUCGAUACUGUCGUGACUCGAGUCCGGUAGGGGAGUGUGGAAUUCCCGGUGUAGCGGUGAAAUGCGCAGAGAUCGGGAGGAACACCCGUAGCGAAGGCGGCACUCUGGGCCGGUACUGGACGCUGAGGAGCGAA
rnacentral:rRNA from 1 species